AUUGAACGCUGGCGGCAGGCCUAACACAUGCAAGUCGAGCGGUAGAGAGGUGCUUGCACCUCUUGAGAGCGGCGGACGGGUGAGUAAUGCCUAGGAAUCUGCCUGGUAGUGGGGGAUAACGCUCGGAAACGGACGCUAAUACCGCAUACGUCCUACGGGAGAAAGCAGGGGACCUUCGGGCCUUGCGCUAUCAGAUGAGCCUAGGUCGGAUUAGCUAGUUGGUGAGGUAAUGGCUCACCAAGGCGACGAUCCGUAACUGGUCUGAGAGGAUGAUCAGUCACACUGGAACUGAGACACGGUCCAGACUCCUACGGGAGGCAGCAGUGGGGAAUAUUGGACAAUGGGCGAAAGCCUGAUCCAGCCAUGCCGCGUGUGUGAAGAAGGUCUUCGGAUUGUAAAGCACUUUAAGUUGGGAGGAAGGGCCAUUACCUAAUACGUGAUGG
rnacentral:rRNA from 1 species